rnacentral:rRNA from 1 species
AUUGAACGCUGGCGGCAGGCCUAACACAUGCAAGUCGAUCGGAGCGGCGGACGGGUGAGUAAUGCCUAGGAAUCCGCCUGGUAGUGGGGGAUACCGUCCGGCAACGUGCGCUAAUACCGCAUACUAUCAGAUGAGCCUAGGUCGGAUUAGCUAGUUGGUGGGGUAAAGGCCUACCAAGGCGACGAUCCGUAACUGGUCUGAGAGGAUGAUCAGUCACACUGGAACUGAGACACGGUCCAGAUUCCUACGGGAGGCAGCAGUGGGGAAUAUUGGACAAUGGGCGAAAGCCUGAUCCAGCCAUGCCGCGUGUGUGAAGAAGGUCUUCGGAUUGUAAAGCUCUUUAAGUUGGGAGGCGUGACCAACACAAUAAGCACCGGCUAACUUCGUGCCAACAGCCGCGGUAAUUC